rnacentral:rRNA from 1 species
UACGUAUGGACCGAGCGUUGUCCGGAAUCACUGGGCGUAAAGGGUACGUAGGCGGUUUAGUAAGUUAGAAGUAAAAGGCAGUAGCUCAACUAAUGUAAGCUUUUAAAACUGCUAGACUUGAGAGCUUGAGGGGAAAGUGGAAUUCCUAGUGUAGCGGUGAAAUGCGCAGAUAUUAGGAGGAAUACCGGUGGCGAAGGCGACUUUCUGGCCUUUAACUGACGCUGAGGCACGAAAGCGUGGGUAGCAAACAGG